rnacentral:rRNA from 1 species
UGGGGAAUAUUGGACAAUGGGGGGAACCCUGAUCCAGCCAUGCCGCGUGUGUGAAGAAGGCCUUUUGGUUGUAAAGCACUUUAAGCGAGGAGGAGGAGCUCUAGAUUAAUACUCUAGGUGCUUGGACGUUACUCGCAGAAUAAGCACCGGCUAACUCUGUGCCAGCAGCCGCGGUAAUACAGAGGGUGCAAGCGUUAAUCGGAUUUACUGGGCGUAAAGCGUGCGUAGGUGGUCUUUUAAGUCGGAUGUGAAAUCCCUGAGCUUAACUUAGGAAUUGCAUUCGAUACUGGGAGACUAGAGUAUGGGAGAGGAUGGUAGAAUUCCAGGUGUAGCGGUGAAAUGCGUAGAGAUCUGGAGGAAUACCGAUGGCGAAGGCAGCCAUCUGGCCUAAUACUGACACUGAGGUACGAAAGCAUGGGGAGCAAACA